ensembl:snRNA U2 U2 spliceosomal RNA
AUCGCUUCUCAGCCUUUUGGCUAAGAUCAAGUGUAAUAUCUGUUCUUAUCAGAUAAAGUAGUCAGGCUGCUAGAUGGCCCUGGUGGCUCCCCCGUGCUGCACCCUCU